rnacentral:lncRNA from 1 species
CAGUUUUAAGAUGUGCCCACUCGCUAAUGAAGGAUUCUUUGAAGUGCUGUGAUUGAAGGCUCAAAGAUUUAUAGGGCAGAAUUGUAUUGGUGAGGCCGAUGCCUCAGCUGAAGUGGUGAUCAGGUCUGGAGGAGGCAAGUGAAGUCAGCCUGGUGUGGUGCAGUGGGGCUGUCAUGGUUUUGUGAUCUUUGUUAUCGCUGUUCCAUAACAUAACAUCAUGUAGUGCACUGGGAGUUAAAGAGUUAAUUGUGUAGUUCCAUAGAUUGUUGACAGUUCCAUUACCUGCGUCAGAAGAGAAAAAAUGAGCUACAGGUUCCAGAAAACUUCACUGUUCCAUUUCCAUUUUUCUGAUAAAACUGCCUUGGGAGUCACA